rnacentral:misc_RNA from 1 species
AGCAGCCGCGGUAAUUCCAGCUCCAAUAGCGUAUAUUAAAGUUGUUGCAGUUAAAAAGCUCGUAGUUGAAUUUCGGGAUCAAUUAAUUGGUCGUGCCUCUGGUACGUACUGAUUUUAUUGGUUUCUCCCUUCUGACGAACCAUGAUGUCAUUAAUUUGGUGUCGUGGAGAAUCAGGACUGUUACUUUGAAAAAUUAGAGUGUUUAAAGCAAGCUAACGCUUGAAUACAUUAGCAUGGAAUAAUGAAAUAGGACGUUUGAUCCUAUUUUGUUGGUUUCUAGGAUCGACGUAAUGAUUAAUAGGGAUAGUUGGGGGCAUUAGUAUUCAAUUGUCAGAGGUGAAAUUCUUGGAUUUAUUGAAGACUAACUACUGCGAAAGCAUUUGCCAAGGAUGUUUUCAUUAAUCAAGAACGAAGUUAGGGGAUCGAAGACGAUCAGAUACCGUCGUAGUCUUAACCAUAAACUAUGCCGACUAGGGAUCGGAUGAUGUUAAUUUUUAAUGACUCAUUCGGCUACCG